ACCGUACCCUGUUAGCCACGGGCCUGGUGGUGACCCUCCGGGCCCGGCUGGCGUAGUGCAGCGUGCUCAGCGUCUCCGAGAGGCAGCGCGAGGACGGGGAGAUGCAGGCGACCUGCCAACAAGGAAGAGCCGCAGAUCUCCACGUAGGAGGCACUGAGAGCCAGGCCAGCGCCCCGGCUCUGCUCCAGGAGAUGCGCAAAGGACCUUUGCAUCAACCCCAGGAGACAGGGAGCUGCCGGCUGGGCCUCACUCUGCAGAGACACAUGAGGGAGAGCGGCCCAGAGGCCAGGGUGACGGCACCUUUGGGUCCCCAUCGGUGCCUCCUGCCUGCUCCCACCACCCCGGUGCCCAGUCUGGGUGAGAAGAGUGUCCCGCGACCAGGAUCAGCUCCAGGAGUUGUCUCAUCCCGCUGCCUUCGAACACGGCUUCCUGGGAGGCACCGGAGUCGAACACGGCGCUGAAGCCGAAGGUGGCAUCGUGCCUGGCCGCGCUCACCUGCG